AAUUAUAUCAAAGGGUCAUUCAUAUUAAAAACAGGCUAAGAGUAGUCUGACUGUGAUCGCCUAAAAACUGGAAGAUAAGUAUUCACGUUGUGAAGAUUUCUUUGGAAAACCCCUG
rfam:Otolemur garnettii clone CH256-154N14, complete sequence.